UUGAAUAAUCCAAAGAAAUGAUAUGAAAAAAAAAUAAAAUAGGGAAAUAGAAACAGAGAGAAAGAGAGAGAGAGAGAGAGAGAGAGAGAGAGAGAGAGAGAGAGAGAAAGGAAAAAAUUAUACUCCAUAGUGGUAGUGUAUGAUGGCAGUUCAGCGCGUAAGCAACAGACAGGUAAUCUGCAUGUCUAAUAAUCCGGGAAUCGUUCUCGAUGCAAAUACUUUCAUACCCUGGUGUUCUGACAUUCAACGGGUUGCGCAUCGCAACAGAAGAAAAGAAAUAGUAAUAGAAGAAGAAAAAGAGGAAAAAGUGAGAAAGGGGAGGAUAUUGGGUAAGGAUGAAGAGGGAAGACUAUUCCAAGAAUUUCUUUGACCACCGUGCUGCCUCGUCCUCCUUCUUGUUGUCGUCGCACGUAACCUUUACGCGGGACUCACGAACUCGAGAUUCUUCAUUCCUAUUUCUCUUCGAAGGAACGUUAGAAGGAUCGACAGUUUUGUAGAAAAUGUAUGACCUUUUCUUUAGCAGGUGGACAACGUUGAGAAAGAUGGAACGAGAAAUAUUCUUCUUUUAAAAAAAGAAGGAGGAAAAGGAGGAAGAAACGCGAGCGCGAGAGGGUUAUGAACCCUCUUUCGCGUGGGUCCACGAAUGGAAUGCGUCAUUAAUGGCUCUCAGCAACAAGGUACUACUACCACUGAUCAAGUCUACGGCGCUGAAGUAUUCAUAGGUACGAGCGUGGUCAUUGCAAAUACAAAGGUAAAGGCGUCUUUCUCCUCGUUGCCUCAACUCCUACCGUUCUUGGCUAAGCAUUUACGAAGAAGUGUCAUUGGGAGGUGCAACUACGACAUUCAGGAAAAGGAAAAAGAAAAACUGGAAGAAGAGACGUGGAAGAAUAAACGCGCUUUGUUCAUUUCUCCAAUGUGUCUUCAUCGAUAAAUUUGUGGGGUAAUUUUCUGUCGCGUUUUCAACUUCAAAUAUCCUAACUUUUUUCGAAAGAAAACAUCUUGUAAUUCCAAUCAACCUUCCUGAAUGAAUGCCUAUGAAUACCUUUUAGUCUCGCGUCAAGAACUGAACAGAGAAACAAUCCAGAAUUUUGGAUUAAAUAUAACAAAUUAUGUUUCCCCUUCUAUUACCGAUACUGAGAAAUCAAAAGAGAAUCAAUGACAGUAAUAUAAUCAAUCAAAAAGAAGAAUGUAUUAAUAUAGCAUAAUUGUAUGCCGACGUUUGUCGUAAUGUGUAGAAUAUUGUAAUCUAUAAAACUAUGUGGAUAAUCACAUAGCUCGAACAAUACUCUCUGGACCUCCUCUUUAAACAUAGGACGGAAGAAGACAAAGAAUAGGUUAUAUGUGUGUAUCGUACAAGAGCGACGGGUUUAUUCUGAAGAGAAAGAAAAAGGAGUUAAAGGAGAAGCAGAAGAAGAAGAACGGGAAAAGCAAAGCACUAGACCGAGCUCACGCGCGACCAUACCGAGAUGAAAGAAAUGAAAGUAGAUAUUACGAGUCGCCGGUAGACUUUUGUUCUUCCUGGAAAAAACUUCUGCAAGAAAGGACCGAGAAAUCGCCAAAUGAAUAAGACACGGGCUUCUACGUAGAAUAAUCCGAAGAAUCUUUAAUGGGAAGGUAAACAGAAUGAAUGGCCAUAGAAGAAAGAUCGGCAUAGUCGGCGAAUACCGAUCUUCGAAGGUGGUACAAUGCACACGCUGACCCCGAGAAAUGAAUUCCUAAGAAAGAACGUUCGCUUUAGGAACCUCGAGAGGCGUACGCACGGUAACGGCCUUUCGAUCUUGGGGGACUGUGCUCUUUCUCUUUCUCUCUC